rnacentral:lncRNA from 1 species
AUGGGGUCUGUGGCCUCCUGCCCGCACCUGAGUUCCUCCGCCCCAGCCUGCGGCGUCUGUAGGUCCCGCUCCGCGCCGAGCCCCCGCUGCACCUGCACCGAGGCCACGGGGCGCAUGCGCGGCCGCGGGGAGCGGGGGCCGGGGCGGGAGGGGUCCUGCGGGCCCCGCAUCCCCAUGCCCACUGCGGGGCUCGGACAGGGGGACGCCACGCCAGGCCGCAGACCCCGCCCUUCCACGUCCCCACUCCGGCGGCCCGUGCGACUCCGGACGACGCUUCCCGGGGCUGCGGGCCGGGGCAGCCGCGGCGCCCCUCCCCAGGUCCACCGCGGGCGCCGCUUUCAGACAAAGGCAGGAGACGGAGCGGGAGACGCUGCCGUGACUGCUCCGGGCGGCCGCGGAGGAGGAGAAGGACGUGGCGCCGCCGACGCCGGCGGCCGGGCCCGGGUCUGGGCGCUCCCAGGCGCGCGGCGUGGGAGCGGGGCGGGCGGGCGGCGCCCAUCACGCGUUCCGCGGCCGGGUCCCGAGCCCCGUCGGGCGCCCAAGGGGCCAGGAGUCCCCGCCCGCGCCGCCACCCCCGCCCGCGCCCGGCCCCUCGCGCUGCCCCGCCGCCCCGUCGCGCCCAGCGAGCCACGGCGGGGCGGGGGCGGUGUCUCCCCACCCCCGCGAUCACAUGGUGACCCCCGGCAGCCAAUGCAGUGGACGCUAGGACCCUGCGGGCCGCGGGCGCCGCGACUGCACCGGCGCCGCCGCAUUAUAAAUACUUCUCCAAAAUGCGGCGCAGCUCCCUGCGCGCGCCCCGGCCGCCUCCGCCCCGCCCCUGAGCCGCCGCCGCCGUCGCCGCCGCUGCUGCCGCCGCCGCCGCCGCCGCCGGUCCGAGGGCGCCGCGCCCUGCCCUGGGCCCGGCCGUGCCUGCCGCCCGGCCGCGUCCCCGCUGCCGCGCCGCCCGGCCGGGUGCAUGCAUUGUGGGCCUCCCGACAUGGUCUGCGAGACGAAGAUCGUGGCCGCCGAGGACCAUGA